UAUACAGCGAAACUGCGAAUGGCUCAUUAUAUAAGUUAUCGUUUAUUUGAUAGUACCUUACUACUUGGAUAACCGUGGUAAUUCUAGAGCUAAUACAUGCUAAAAAUCCCGACUUCGGAAGGGAUGUAUUUAUUAGAUUAAAAACCAAUGCCCUCUGGGCUCUCUGGUGAUUUAUGAUAACUUCUCGAAUCGCAUGGCCUUGUGCCGGCGAUGGUUCAUUCAAAUUUCUUCCCUAUCAACUUUCGAUGUUUGGGUAGUGGCCAAACAUGGUUGCAACGGGUAACGGAGGGUUAGGGCUCGACCCCGGAGAAGGAGCCUGAGAAACGGCUACUACAUCCAAGGAAGGCAGCAGGCGCGCAAAUUACCCAAUCCCGACACGGGGAGGUAGUGACAAUAAAUACUGAUACAGGGCUCUUUUGGGUCUUGUAAUUGGAAUGAGUACAAUUUAAAUCCCUUAACGAGGAACAAUUGGAGGGCAAGUCUGGUGCCAGCAGCCGCGGUAAUUCCAGCUCCAAUAGCGUAUAUUAAAGUUGUUGUGGUUAAAAAGCUCGUAGAUGAACCUUGGGCCUGGCUGGCCGGUCCGCCUCACCGCGUGUACUGGUCCGGCCGGGCCUUUCCCUUU
rnacentral:rRNA from 1 species